UGACACAAACUAAAUAAUUUUUAUUAUAAAUUAUACACAUAUUAUUUAAUGACAGAGAGAAUUACUAUCUAAUCGCUAAUACUGUUAACUGAUCUUUUUGGAUUGAUCUUCUCUCAUUUCAUAUUUUAAUAUUUUUGGAACUAGUAAACUUUGCUAUAAUUUUAAUAUUUUUGGAACUAGUAAACUUUGCUAUAACAAACAGUAACAUUUAUCGAUUGUCCUUUCUUCGAAUUACAAAUUGUUUCUAAUUCUUUACAUAGGGAAACACCACACACAAUAGGAAAAACUGUAUCCCUGCCUAUACAAAGCAAGCAGAAAAGGCUUGAUUUAUUGUGCAGGAUCUUACAAUAUUUUUACUUCUUAAAUGCAUUACACAUAUUGAAACAAUGGAAUUACAAAUAGGUAAAUUCUUAACAAAAAUUCAUGAAAACUUCAGUACAUCAAAACAUUCAUAAAAAAAAGUUGGUCACAGGAAAAUGGACCAUUUGCUUUCUAAAACAGAUUUAUCUUUCACUCAUUUAAUGCUUACAUACCAAAUAAAGGUUUAUGCAUUUUUCUGUCGUAAAUUGUACAAAUUACAAAGAGAUUUCAUUAAAAUCAAUAAACUUAAAUAAGUACAAAAAUCAUAAAAGGCUCCAAGAACAGGGCACACUUAUGUGGCAGUGUUUCACUAACAAAGAAAGUAUCACUAUAGAAAUUUCUUUAUCUCCUUUUCCAUACUGGUAUAUAAGUGAUUAAAACUCUUGUUCUGAGGUACAACUAGUAUAACUUCCAAUUCUAUACUUCUUAUGGUAACAACAAGGGUUAAGGCAAAAAUUUGAGGAAAAAGAAACUUCAUUUAUAAAUCUGGUCAAUUCUAAGUAAAUAUAUAAAAUAUGGAAAUGCAAAAGCUGGCUUAAAGAUUCUCUCUCAUUACAGAACGGCUUCCUAUAUAUCAAAAUGUAAUACUAUACUCAAAUCUAGUAAGUUGAAUUAUAAGGGCUAACAUUUUUUAAAGUAAGAUAUAUAUAGUAAGGAACUAUCUCAAC
rnacentral:lncRNA from 1 species